AGGAAUGCAAACGGGUCAAUGAAAUUAAAAUAGUAGAAGCCUUGCCUAUUCAUGUAGGUGAGGUGGCCACAUACUAUAAAGAUUAUGAGAGAGAGAGAGCGGGGAGUGACCGCGUUGAAAAAUGUUCAACUGGUUUUAAAAGGCCAUAAACAGACAUGCUCUGCAACUGCUGUGUUCUUGGCUCCUCUUCCUAUAAACACCAACACCUCUCUUUGGCUUCUUUUGUGUUUUGUUUUUUCGUGUUAGCUAGCUAGUUGUUUGUUUGUUUUUUUGUUGGCUGGCUAACCUUUUUAUGCAUCAAUCUAGAUACUACUACUUCCAGCUUUGGCGUGCUCUGAUAAAAGAUAACUACAGCACACACAGGGAGAGGGAGAAGAGAUAAACAGUGACAGAGAGAGUUGGGGAUUGGGCAAAAGGUUUUUCUUUUUCCCUUCGAAGAGAGAGUUUCUUGUUUCUUUUCAUUUCCUUUCUUUUUGUUUUUUUACUUCUUUUUCUUGUAAAGAAUGAUUGGUUACAAGGCUGAACUGAAGUGAAAGUCUGGUCUUGGUGACACAAAAGAAAAGAAAAAAAAUCUUUUGAGUUUCUUGAUCAUGAAAGAUUGCCAAAAUACAACAUGCGGGGUGCUGCUUUGAAGGGAUUGGGUUCGUUGAGCCUUCUUUUCAUAUUUUCUUGUUCUUUUGGAAGUUUCUUGUCUUAAAUUCAAUUAGUUUUACAUUAUUCAGCAGCAAGAUCAAAUUUGUCUACAAAUUCAUCUAGGCGUCAACACACUCUUUGUAUAGCCAUAUUAAGAUAAAAGAAGCUGCAGCAGAGCGUGUGUAGCGUUAGCAUAAAAAAAAGAAUUUAUUAUUGUUCAAGAAACAAGCAAGAAAGACGUUCAUUCCAUCAGAAGAAAUUUCACAAAUUACAUUUUAUCUUCUCUCUCUCUUUCUUUUUCUAUGGAGUACAAUCAAUCUUCAGAAAUGCAAGAACCCAGCAUCGACACUGACAAACUCAGCUACGAAAUCUUUUCAGUUCUUGAAAGCAAAUUUCUUUUCGGCUAUGAUGAUCAGAAACUCUGGGUUCCUAAACAGAUCUCUCCUGCAACAAUCGAAGCAAAACCCGAGUCACAGAAUCCUUCUUUUCUCACAGAAAACAACAGCAACGGGCUGUCUGCAAUCAAGAAUCAACGAGGGAAAAUCUGCAUAUUGUCUAUUGAUGGUGGUAGCAGUCUAAAAGGGAUUAUUUCAGGGAAAGCAUUGGCUUAUCUUGAAAACGCUUUGAAAUUGAAAUCAGGUAACCCUGACGCCAGAAUUGCUGAUUAUUUUGAUGUGGCAGCCGGAACUGGAAUUGGUGGAAUCUUCACGGCUAUGCUUUUUGGCACCAAAGAUCAUAACCGUCCGAUUAUGAAAGCUGAGGAGACUUGGAGAUUUUUAGCUGAUCAGGGUAAGAAAUUGUUCACUUCUGGUAACAGAAAUGUUGGGUUCUUAAAGCGGUUUUUCAAAGGGAGCUCAACCGGUACGACCGCUGCCACAGCCGGUUUAGAGAAGGCCAUGAAAGAGACUUUUACUGAGAAGGGCCGGAAUUUGACUUUGAAGGAUACUUUAAAACCGGUUUUGAUCCCUUGUUAUGAUCUUUCCAGUACGGCGCCGUUUUUGUUUUCUAGAGCAGAUGCCUUGGAAACGGACAGUUUCGAUUUCCGGAUUUGGGAGGUUUGUCGGGCUACAUCAGCUGAACCGGGCUUGUUUGACCCUGUUUUAAUGCGGUCCGUUGAUGGUCAGACCAGAUGUUUGGCAGUUGAUGGUGGUUUAGCCAUGAGCAACCCGACCGCGGCAGCCAUAACUCACGUGCUGCAUAAUAAGCAGGAGUUUCCGUUCGUUAGAGGAGUCGAGGAUUUGUUGGUGUUAUCAUUAGGGACCGGUCAAAUUCUUGAGGUUAGCUAUGAUUAUGAGCAGGUUAAGAAUUGGAGGGCCAAGCAGUGGGCUCGACCGAUGGCUCGGAUUUCAGGUGAUGGUUCGGCUGAUUCAGUGGACCAGGCAGUGGCCAUGGCAUUUGGUCAGUGUAGAAGCAGUAACUACGUAAGAAUUCAGGCAAAUGGGUCCAAUCUGGGAAGAUGUGGACCUAAUGCGGACACAGACCCCAGCCCUAACAAUGUAAAGAUGAUGAUUGGGAUAGCAGAGGAAAUGUUGAAGCAGAAAAAUGUAGAAUCUGUACUGUUUGGUGGUAAGAGGAUUGGAGAGCAAAGCAAUUUUGAGAAACUUGAUUGGUUUGCUGAACAGCUUGUUCUUGAGCAUCAGAGGAGGAGCUGCAGAAUUGCUCCCACUGUUGCUUUCAAGCAAGCUGCCACCAAAACAGCCUAAGAUUAUUCUCAACAAUGUCAAGACCAAAACCAAACAUUAAAAAAAAAUGUAAGCUCUUUCUUUCCAUUUACUGUGUGAUAACCCUGUAUCUUUACAUGCUAUUGUCUCAAAUCUGAAGGCAUCUUACUGAACCCUACUUUGAAUGUAAAUGAUCAAGCGGGGACACUCAUGAUACAAGAGGGAAACGCUAGAGGGGUUCAAGUAUUUUUCACCUCAGGCUUUCAGAAAUCUUGCUGGGGUUUGGGAAUUUACGAGUUUGAAAAGUUUGUAUUUCAGUUUUUUUAUCAUUACUUCAAAUCUGAUUUUGCCUUUCCAGCUUUGAAAUGUCCCUGUCCAUUGAAAACCAGUAUUGCACCUGCCCGAAAAUGAACACUCCUCCUUGGGGACUAAGUUAAGCCAUCACAUUUAGCUCAUGCACUCUUAUUAUUGCAGUGCAUGACCCUUGGAACCUAAACCAAAGCUCUUGUCUUGUACAAAUUCGGUUGUCUUAAAUAAAUGGACGUAAAAAGCAGCAGGUAAUAGCCUAGAAUUGUCAUUUAGUGAAUUCGUGGGCUCGCCUUGUCAUUUUCAUUGUUUGAUUAGAAAGCUCAAACAACCACAUAGCAACCAGUUGUUAUCGUCUUUGUUGAAGAUAAAAGUCAGGGGAUGUAAGAAGUAUGCAAAUUGGUGAUGUGGGGAAGCCAUUCUCAAUUGUUGUCGGUCGACCGACACUGAUUCUUGUGAUAGAUUAGGGAUAUCUUGGUCAUUCUAUGGCACUACCUCACGGUUCCUGCUUCUGUGUCAUUCAUAGAUGAACCAAAUCAUUGAGGGUGCUUGAAGGUAUAUCCAUGGUACCCCAAAAAGAAUUCUCUUUUAUCAUUGUUUGCUUCACUGUUAGGACAGAGCUGAAUUCUAUGUCCUCGUCCCAACACUCUAGCCUAUAAAUCAAAUGUCAGUCGUAUGCUAAAGGAACCCUGCUUGUAAAUAUUGGCUAUGCUGUCACAUCUUUUUAUUGCCUUCAAAGUUCCCUAAUGUCACUGGGUUCUUGGACUGAUGUGGAGAGGGGAACUGUUGCCAUUAUUUCAUUUAAAGUUUCAAGGGCUGCAUUUAGAACAUCUGAGGUGAAAAAUAGAUUUUAAGAAACAAAAAAGAGAGAGUGAUAUAGCAGCUUUUACUUUUCAAAGCCAUGAAGAUAGCGAGAGAAGGAGAGGGAAUUGUGUGAAAAAGGACAAGAGAAACAUAAAAGGGUAGAAGAUCUUAGUGGGAUACUUUGCCUGCUAGGUGAUGGACAUGGUGGUGUCCACUCCACUUUUCUACCACGGUAAGGAACCAGGAAAGAAAAGAAACACAGAAGAAAACGCAGAUAUAAUGCCAGUUCAGCUUUUGAAGGUCAAACCAAGUAUCAGGUUUUGAUGUCUGGAAGACUCUUUGCAUAUUUUAUUUCUUUAAUUUAUUUACAUUCUUAUUUAGAAUCGCUCAUCUCUCUGGGGAACUUGAGUGGGGGUGCAUGAUGGGCUCCUUGUCAUAGAACCCCUAGAUAUAUAGCCAAAGUUCUUUAUCCGACCUUUGCUCCCUUUUCAUCAUUUCUUUUCUUUUCUUCCAAUAGAUUGUAGUGUUGAAGAAUAGAUUUGAGAGUAAUUCUACCAAACCUGCUAAAUUGAUAUUAUUUUAAUAUAUUUUAAAACAAUAA